rnacentral:misc_RNA from 1 species
UCUCCGUUGGUGAACCAGCGGAGGGAUCAUUACUGGAAUCGCAAGAUCCCACAACCCUGUGAACCUACCGAAACGUUGCCUCGGCGGGUGCCCGGCCUCUGCGCCGGGCGCUGCGCCCGCCGGCGGCCCCCUACUCUGUCACUGCAGCGUGGCAUCUCAGAGUCCCAGAAAACAAGUCAAAACUUUCAACAACGGAUCUCUUGGCUCUA